AAUUAAUUAGCUUAUACUAAAGCAUUUAUUUUGAAAAUAAAAAAAAGGAUAUAUUCUAUUAAUUU
rnacentral:tRNA from 1 species